rnacentral:rRNA from 1 species
UGGGGAAUUUUGGACAAUGGGCGCAAGCCUGAUCCAGCCAUGCCGCGUGCGGGAAGAAGGCCUUCGGGUUGUAAACCGCUUUUGUCAGGGAAGAAAUCUUCUGAGUUAAUACCUCGGGAGGAUGACGGUACCUGAAGAAUAAGCACCGGCUAACUACGUGCCAGCAGCCGCGGUAAUACGUAGGGUGCAAGCGUUAAUCGGAAUUACUGGGCGUAAAGCGUGCGCAGGCGGUUUUGUAAGACAGAGGUGAAAUCCCCGGGCUCAACCUGGGAACUGCCUUUGUGACUGCAAGGCUUGAGUGCGGCAGAGGGGGAUGGAAUUCCGCGUGUAGCAGUGAAAUGCGUAGAUAUGCGGAGGAACACCGAUGGCAAAGGCAAUCCCCUGGGCCUGCACUGACGCUCAUGCACGAAAGCGUGGGGAGCAAAACAGGAUUAGAUACCCUGGUAGUCCACGCCCUAAACGAUGUCAACUGGUUGUUGGGAAGGUUCCUUCUCAGUAACGUAGCUAACGCGUGAAGUUGACCGCCUGGGGAGUACGGCCGCAAGGUUG